GCCUACAUGAAGCUGGAAUUGCUAGUAAUCACAGGUCAGCAUACUGUGGUGAAUACGUUCCCGGGCCUUGUACACACCGCCCGUCACACCAUGAGAGUUGAGAAUACCCGAAGCCCAUGUCAAAGUGGUCGAAGGUAGGCUUGAUGAUUGGGGUGAAGUCGUAACAAGGUACC
rnacentral:rRNA from 1 species